rnacentral:rRNA from 1 species
GUCCACGCCGUAAACGAUGGAUGCUAGCCGUCGGCAAGCUUGCUUGUCGGUGGCGCAGCUAACGCAUUAAGCAUCCCGCCUGGGGAGUACGGCCGCAAGGUUAAAACUCAAAGGAAUUGACGGGGGCCCGCACAAGCGGUGGAGCAUGUGGUUUAAUUCGACGCAACGCGAAGAACCUUACCAGCCCCUUGACAUGGUCGGACGGUUUCCAGAGAUGGACUCCUCCUAGCAAUAGGUCGACACACAGGUGCUGCAUGGCUGUCGU